rnacentral:rRNA from 1 species
AUACGGAGGGUCCAAGCGUUAUCCGGAAUCAUUGGGUUUAAAGGGUCCGCAGGCGGUCAAUUAAGUCAGAGGUGAAAGCCCAUCGCUCAACGAUGGAACUGCCUUUGAUACUGGUUGACUUGAGUUAUACGGAAGUAGAUAGAAUAAGUAGUGUAGCGGUGAAAUGCAUAGAUAUUGCUUAGAAUACCGAUUGCGAAGGCAGUCUACUACGUAUAUACUGACGCUGAGGGACGAAAGCGUGGGGAGCGAACAGGAUUAGAAACCCUAGUAGUCC